GUUCCGUGAUGAUCAACCCCAUGCGUGUCAUCUGACCCCCACGCCCCCAGUUUUCCUCCCAGCCUGCGUUCUGCGGUGCUGGGGGAGGGACCCGGGCUUCUGGGGGGAAGUGAUCAUAACUGACCCUGUCCCUGAGAAC